UACGUAGGGUGCGAGCGUUAAUCGGAAUUACUGGGCGUAAAGCGUGCGCAGGCGGCUUUGUAAGUCAGAUGUGAAAGCCCCGGGCUUAACCUGGGAAUGGCAUUUGGGACUGCAAGGCUUGAGUGCGGCAGAGGAGACUGGAAUUCCUGGUGUAGCAGUGAAAUGCGUAGAUAUCAGGAGGAAUACCGAUGGCGAAGGCAGGUCUCUGGGCUGACACUGACGCUCAUGCACGAAAGCGUGGGGAGCAAACAGG
rnacentral:rRNA from 1 species